rnacentral:rRNA from 1 species
UACGUAGGGGGCAAGCGUUGUCCGGAUUUAUUGGGCGUAAAGGGCGUGUAGGCGGCCAGAUAGGUCCGUUGUGAAAACUCGAGGCUCAACCUCGAGACGCCGAUGGAAACCAUUUGGCUAGAGUCCGGAAGAGGAGAGUGGAAUUCCUGGUGUAGCGGUGAAAUGCGCAGAUAUCAGGAAGAACACCCGUGGCUAAGGCGGCUCUCUAGUACGGUACUGACGCUGAGACGCGAAAGCGUGGGGAGCGAACAGG